GACGUAGGGGGCGAGCGUUGUCCGGAUUCAUUGGGCGUAAAGAGCUCGUAGGCGGUUUGUCGCGUCUGCUGUGAAAUCCCGAGGCUCAACCUCGGGUCUGCAGUGGGUACGGGCAGACUGGAGUGCGGUAGGGGAGAAUGGAAUUCCUGGUGUAGCGGUGGAAUGCGCAGAUAUCAGGAGGAACACCGAUGGCGAAGGCAGUUCUCUGGGCCGUAACUGACGCUGAGGAGCGAAAGCGUGGGGAGCGAACAGG
rnacentral:rRNA from 1 species